GUGGGGAAUAUUGCACAAUGGGGGAAACCCUGAUGCAGCGACGCCGCGUGAGCGAAGAAGUAUUUCGGUAUGUAAAGCUCUAUCAGCAGGGAAGAUAAUGACGGUACCUGACUAAGAAGCCCCGGCUAACUACGUGCCAGCAGCCGCGGUAAUACGUAGGGGGCAAGCGUUAUCCGGAUUUACUGGGUGUAAAGGGAGCGUAGACGGCAAGGCAAGUCUGAUGUGAAAACCCAGGGCUUAACCCUGGGACUGCAUUGGAAACUGUCUGGCUCGAGUGCCGGAGAGGUAAGCGGAAUUCCUAGUGUAGCGGUGAAAUGCGUAGAUAUUAGGAAGAACACCAGUGGCGAAGGCGGCUUACUGGACGGUAACUGACGUUGAGACUCGAAAGCGUGGGGAGCAAACAGGAUUAGAUACCCGAGUAGUCC
rnacentral:rRNA from 1 species